CAUGUUUUUUUGGGAUGGGCUGGUGGAGGCCAUCUUCGCCAUAUUGGCUCGUUUGCGUCUCUAUUAUGUUAGGAUAUGAUGAGUAAUAAUCUGUGAUGGUCGGGUCGGUCUCAACAAAUAUAAAGUCACAUACGGACUUGAAUUCCCCCAAGAUUAAAACGAAACCCCAAUUCGCUCCGACGAUCAUCGAAACUCGCUGCGAUUUUUCGAUAUCAGAUACUGAAGCAGAAAAUGCCGUCUCCGUCCCAAGUUGAAAAUGAGUCGGGUGGUCAAAUUAAGGCAGAUUCAUCAAUCCGGAUUAUAACUCCUCCCCCCGACAUCAGAAUCUUGGUGGACAAAGCCACAAGGUUUGUGGCAUCAGUGAAACCUCGGCUCAAGAAAUUCAUUGCUAUGAAUGCUGGAAUGCGCAAAUAUACUUUUCUGAAUGCUGCAGAUCCAUAUCAUGCCUAUUACCAGCACCGGCUGUCUGAGUUCCGUGCUCAAAAUGGGUCCAAUGAGAAACGUAGGCUCACACAGUUUACUUGUAAAAACACGGCUGUUAUUGAAUGGAUCCUGAAGAGGUCUGACAGCCGAGCGGAAAGUUUUGCGGUGUCUGAUACUGUUCUUGUUUCACCGAUUACUGGUGAGUUGGUUAAAUGUAGUGGCAUGUAUGAACAUAUUCGGGACCCUAAGUAUAAAGCAGAGAAGGAGACACUGUUUGCCAAGAUUAGGGAGAUUACACUUGCCCAAGAUGAGGUUAUUUCCAGAAGUAUUUUGGAGGUUGCUCAGAUACGUCCUGAUAGUUUUGGGACCACAGAGGAAGAGGUUUGUUACGCAGUCAAGGCGGAGAUUGAAAGGACAUACCCUCAGUUGUUUUCGGAUCAGCCUGGACCAAAGAAGCGACGGCUUGAUAACUCUUUGCUUGUCCCUGAGGAUAAAUUCUUGUCUCAACAUCCGGGACCUGCUUGUAUCGGUGUGUGGAGGGAAGAUAAAGAGGAAAUGCUGGAAAUAAGUGUGGAGUCGUUGUCUGAGAGUGUAAGCAGUAUGAAAGAGAAGAUUGCUGGACAGAUUGAGGAGGCCCCUCCUGCAAACAAACUGAAACUGAGGGGGGAUGAAGGUUUUCUCAAAGACUCCUUAUCUCUUGCUUAUUACAACGUUGCUCGAGAUGUAUUGCUUUUUCUAGAGUGGUGACCGCAACAUUGCAUUGAAUGAAUCAUCAAACUCCCUCUCUCAACCAUUGCACUGUUGUGGCCAUUGUAGGAGCGCCAUUGCUGUCCCACAUCGUUAUUUACAAGUGAUAUAUCCAGACAGAUAGUACAUACGCCUUCCUGUUGUAACUCAUAAUCCCAAAUCUUUUGACUUGUCCCUGGUCUUUCGGAAUCACAUUCUAAUUCAUAAUGGUUGUUGACAACUUGGUAAGGGGUUUAAAUUCCUUCCAAUGUAAUGUCUUCUUUUCAUUCACCCGUUCCACUCAAAGGUUAAUAUUGCUUUUGCCCCGUUCACAUAACCGAUCAACUUGGCAUUGCGUGGAGCAUUGCUUCCCAACAUUCACUCAAAAAUAUCUUAUCUUGGUUAGAGUUAUUGGAUAGGAGUGUCUCUAACCACCUCAAUCUCUCGAAUUGCGAUUUUCGUAAGCUAGCGUCAGAAUAAACUGAGAUUGCACAUGUGAUCACUUGUCUAUAAACGUAGAUAAAAACAAGCACCUCUCAUCCACAAGCUCAAAAUUCUUUAAAAUAUUUUGAUUUGCGGCUAAAAGAAUCACAUUCUAAUUCAUAAUGGUUGUCUACAACUUGGGAAGGGGUUUUAAUUCCUUCCAAUAUAAUGUCUUCUUUUCAUUCAGUAUACAUAAAAUGUAGUUAACAUGAGAGCAAUGUUUUCAAAACCGGACCGGGCCGGCCGGGACCCGUAACCUUCUCCGGGCCGGUUCACACACAUAGCCGCUAUCAACAUUGGGCCGCCGAUCGGGCCGGGAACCGGCGGGUCUACGCAAAGAAUCGAGCCGGUUUGGCUUUUUUUUUUAAUAAUGGGAUAUUAUAAUGAAAACCUAAUCUAAUCUCAAAACAAAAAACACGCCGCUGUGCUCGCUGUGCUCUCUUCGGCUCUUCCUGUGUGCGACUGUGCUCUCCAAUCUCCAUCAUCAGCCUUCAACCUUCAUCUUCAAUUCAAGAUUUCAGAGUAUGGAUUCACAAGAAGAAGAGGAAACUAAUCCCCAUUCCGAGUCGACCGCCCACUCAAAUGUUCGGCCGAAGACGGAUAUCACAUGGAAAUAUGUUACCGAAGCUCAAGAUGAACUUGGUAAAAAGAUGCGUAUUUGUACAUUUUGCAACAAGUCAUUUCGUGGAGGGGGCAUUAACCGAAUGAAACAACACCUUGGUGGAGUUAAAGGAAAUAUAGCUGCGUGUUUAAAGGUUCCAGCGGAUGUAAGGUGUCAAAUGAAAAUUUUGUUUGAAGAGUCGCAAAAAGGUAAAAAUACAGUUUCAGAGACUGAGACGGGUAGCACGCUAAAAACAAAAAGUCUUGGUAAAAGGAAAGCUUCUUCAACGUCCGACAACGCACAAUCGUAUUUCUCAAGAGGUAUAAAUGAUCUUACUCGACCUUCAAUUAGAUCUGUAUGACAAAGUAAGGAAAUAGUUCAUGAUACAGAUUUAGCUGUAGCCAUGUGGCUAUAUGAUGCAUGCAUACCUAUGAAUGCCGUAAAUUCUCCCCUUUUUUUCCAAUUGCAAUGCGUAAAGUAGCUUCCAUGGGGCAUGGAUAUACGGGACCUUCCUACCAUCAAGUUCGUGUAAAUUUGUUGAAAGAUGCUAAGCAAUCUGUGAAACUUAUAGUUGAUUCUUAUAGAGAGCAAUGGGCUGAAAGAGGUUGCCCUAUAAUGAGUGAUGGAUGGAGAGACGUUAGACAAAGAGCUCUAAUUAAUUUUUUUGUUUAUUGUCCAACGGGGAUUUCAUUCAUCAAAUAUGUUGAUGCUUCUGAUAUUGAGAGUAAUGCUGAAGGUUUAUGCAAUUUGUUUAGUGAAAUUGUUGAGAUUGUUGGUUUCAAGAAUAUUGUUCACUUGGUCACUGAUAAUGCUGCAUACAACUUGAAGGAUGUUUCAGAAAUGGAAGAUGCGUCUACUUUGAUACAACUUGCAUCACAAAUUACAGUUUUCAUCUACAACCACAAGUGGCCUCUAAAUUGGUUGAGAAAAAGACCUGGUUGGACAGAAAUUAUCCGUCCUGGGCCACCCGAUUUGGCACAUCAUUCAUUGCAUUGAAGAGUUUACAUGAUCAUAAGCAUGAUUUGCAAGCUUUAGUAACCUCUCUUGAUUUCAAAAAAGAUGUUGAAAGUGUCUAAAGCUAAUGAUGUGAAAGACACUAUCUUAGAUCCUAAGUUUUGGAAUAAUUGUUUUAUAACGGUUCAGGUGACGACUCCAAUCUUGAGACUUUUGCGUAUCUGUGAUUCCGAUGAAAAGCCUUCAUUAGGCUACGUUUAUGAAGGUAUACUUAGGAUAAGGAAAGGAAUCAAAGAGUUGUUUAAAAGGAAAAGACGUAACUAUAAGAGGUAUGUUGAUAUCAUUGAUGCUCGUUGGGAUAAGAUGUUACGCAAAAGUCUUCAUGCAGCAGCUUAUUGGCUAAAUCCAAUAUUUCAAUAUGAAAAAGAUAAUCGUGAAGAAAAGGAUAAGGCAUGGUUAGGGGUGCUUGAUAUGAUUGAGAAGUUAACGAGUUUAGAUAAUAGUGUGCAAAUAACUAUUUCACACUUGGCAAAAUUUCGGGAUAAAGUAGGUACUUUUGGUCGAUCUAUUGCUUUGAAUUCCGUGGAGCUUGAGCGUCCCGAUGUGUGGUGGAAAGCGUUCGGUGGAGAUGUACCGUUGUUG